UGCUGUAACAAAGUACCCCAAACUGGGUGGCUUAAACCGAAAACACGUAUGUCUCACAGUUCUGGAGGCAGGCGAGUCCUAGAUGAAGACACUGGUAGAUCCAAUGUCUGGCAAGUACUCUUCCAGUUUUGCAUACGGCUCUUGACCUCCUUUAAACCUACCAAUCCCAGAGGCCUCACCUCCUUAUGCAUCUCCCUGGGGGUUAGAGUUUCAAUAGAUGAAUUUUGGGAGAACAAAAUGUGCAGUCCGUACCAUGGGGUUCAUGAUUUUUUUAAUGUGUGUAUAUUUCCCUAAUUAGACCGCAUGCCAAAAAGGAGGUACCCAAUCAAAGUGCGUUAAUGAAAAGGCAAAUUGAACCGAAAACAUUUAAAAUCAAUUUUUUUUUGCAAAUUUGAAACACACCAUGCAUUAUUAUAAACUACAGUCAUCAGGCUAUGCAAUGCUUCACUAAAACUUGUUCUUUUUGUCUGACUGACACUGUGGACCUAUUGACCAGUGUCUCCCCAGUCCCCAUUCUGCUCCCCACAGCCACAGCCCCUGGUAACCACCCUCCUACUCCCGGCUUCUACGAGUUCGGCACUUUCAGAUUCCACACCCAGAAAACUCCGACUCCACCAACACGAAUUAGAAGUGGCAGUCAGAGGACAUUGCUAUGAGAGGAAGGAGUUCGAGGAGCAGAGAUUAUCCCAGCCUGAAUGUGCCCUUCGUUGAUUUCAUGAUGUUGCGGAGGCAGAAGCCUGAGGUCAAAGUGUGGCAAUCACGCCCUCCUGGCUGCUGGGCUGCCAGAGUCCUCGCGUUCCUGACUGCAGCUGCACCACUUCCAUCUCUGUCUCCAUUAUCCCCUGUCCAUCUUCCCUCUGCCUGUGUCACUUCUCUUCCUAUAAGGACACUCGUCAUGUUGGAUUAAGGGCCCACUCUACUCCAGCAUGACCUCAUCUUAAUGUACAUCUUAAUUACAUCUUCAAAGACCCUAUUUCCAAAUAAAGGCAAACUCGCAGAUACCAGGGGUUUACAUUUGAACAUAACUUUCAUGGGGGACAC